CCUACAGACCAUGGCUGACCUUGGGCAGCUGAAACUGGAGAAAGCAAAAACGCACAACUAAGGAGGAAGACGGUAAUUUCUCUUCCUUUCCAGGCUGUUGAAUGACAUCCGGAUUGAUGCGAUUUGGUACCAAAGUCUCCCAAAACAAAGCCUGAAGUGCACUCAGGCCGCUGACGCUGAUGGGGCUGCAGAAUUCUCUGCGUCAAAUUAACACAAAGAGGAAGCAAGGGUGAGAGUGGACUCCAGAACUCAGAGCCCCAUCACCCUACUUAACUGCACUGUGUCACUGUGGACCAUUUGCAGGAAAUCGCCUUUCCUUUGGCGCCCAGUGUAGGGAGCAAGAGUGAGGGAGAGGAAGAGAUUUAAGGAGAAAUUACAGCAAGCUGGCAGGUAGCGGGCAGAGGAUCAAUCCAGUUUGUCACAUUAAGGAUUGUAAAGAAUCCAUCUCAGAGUGACACUGAUGAUUCAGGGUAUUAAGUUCAGGUCGCAGUACGGCAAAUGGCAGUGGUAAAGCCCAGAAGGGAAUUCAAGCCUGGAGAAUGCUGGAAGAAAGGAAGACAAGACCCAGCAUAACAGCCGGUUCUGAAAAGCUAUGUCUGCCAGGGAAUCGAAGUCUUCCCUUCGCCCUUGCACUCACCUUGUCUCCUUGACUGCAGUGUCCACGACGCUCGGUUGUUGAGAGCUGUGCACGGCUGGCCUUUCCAGACGUCAGGAACUGGAUGCUAAGAGAGUUAACUGUUGUGCAUGCAUGUCUCUGUGCUGGGCAUAAAGGAGUCACUGGUGUGACUCCAGCUAAUGCAAACCACCUCCCAUCCACCAUUACUGCCAGCUUCUUGAGAGACAAUGGUUUACCCCCAGCAGCCCCACAGAGGGGUGUAUCCUAAGACCUUGGCCAAUUCCUUUGAUGGUGUCUAUCUACCACGUAACUGCUAGGUGACAAUUCCUCUUUGUUCUUCAUUGCUCUUAAUUAGAGGGUAUAUAUUGACUUGUGUA